GACGAACGCUGGCGGCGCGCCUAACACAUGCAAGUCGAACGGAGUUGUGUUGAAAGCUUGCUGGAUAUACAACUUAGUGGCGGACGGGCGAGUAACACGUGAGUAACCUGCCUCUCAGAGUGGAAUAACGUUUGGAAACGAACGCUAAUACCGCAUAACGUGAGAAGAGGGCAUCCUCUUUUUACCAAAGAUUUAUCGCUGAGAGAUGGGCUCGCGGCCGAUUAGGUAGUUGGUAAGGUAACGGCUUACCAAGGCAAUGAUGCAUAGCCGAGUUGAGAGACUGAUCGGCCACAUUGGGACUAAGACACGGCCCAA
rnacentral:rRNA from 1 species